rnacentral:rRNA from 1 species
CCCUUAGAUGUUCUGGGCCGCACGCGCGCUACACUGACGAUGGCAACGAGUUUCUCCUUCGCCGAAAGGUGUGGGUAAUCUUUUGAAACAUCGUCGUGCUGGGGAUAGAUCAUUGCAAUUUUUGAUCUUGAACGAGGAAUUCCUAGUAAGCGCGAGUCAUCAGCUCGCGUUGAUUACGUCCCUGCCCUUUGUACACACCGCCCGUCGCUACUACCGAUUGAAUGGUUUAGUGAGGACUCCUGAUUGGCGCCGCCGCCCCGGCAACGGAGCAGCGGACUGCCGAAAAGUUGUUCAAACUUGAUCAUUUAGAGGAAGUAAAAGUCGUAACA